rnacentral:lncRNA from 1 species
UACCAUGCUUUAUGAAUUGUUAAAGUCAAAAUAUGACCAAGUUAAUUGGGUUAUGGAACUCAAUUUAUAUGUGAUAUGUGAUAGCACAUGUUGUAUGAGGUAACUCGAUAAAUUAGAAAUGUAUAAUGCAUGAAUGUAUGCUUUGUAAGGAAUUAUUGUUGCAUGUAGGAUAUGCAUAGUAAAGAAUAUAUGUUGCAUGCAGAUAUGCAUAGUAAAGGAAAUAUAGUCC